rnacentral:rRNA from 1 species
AUGAGUCUUCGCUUAAAAGAGGCUGGGGUUAUGCUCUCCAGUUUCGCCCAAGGAUGGGGCCGCGACCGAUCAGGUUGUUGGUGAGGUAAUGGCUCACCAAGCCUUUUACCGGUGCGGGCCGUGAGAGCGGGAGCCCGGAGAUGGGCACUGAGACAAGGGCCCAGGCCCUACGGGGCGCAGCAGUCGCGAAAACUUUGCAAUAAGCGAAAGCUUGACAGGGCUAUCCCGAGUGCCAUCCGCUGAGGAAGGCUUUUACCCAGUCUGGAACGCUGGGGGAAUAAGGAGAGGGCAAGUCUGGUGUCAGCCGCCGCGGUAAUACCAGCUCUCCGAGUGGUGUGGAUGUUUAUUGGGCCUAAAGCAUCCGUAGCUGGCCAGGUUAGUCCCCUGUUAAAUCCACCGAAUUAAUCGUUGGAUUGCGGGGGAUACUGCUUGGCUAGGGGACGAGAGAGGCAGACGGUAUUUCCGGGGUAGGGGUGAAAUCCUAUAAUCCCGGGAAGACCACCAGUGGCGAAGGCUGUCUGCUAGAACGCGCCCGACGGUGAGGGAUGAAAGCUGGGGGAGCGAACCGGAUUAGAUACCCGGGUAGUCCCAGCUGUAAACGAUGCAGACUAGGUGUUUGGACGGCCACGUGCCGUUCUAGUGCCGCAGGGAAGCUGUUA